UUAAAUUGAAGAGUUUGAUCAUGGCUCAGAUUGAACGCUGGCGGCAGGCCUAACACAUGCAAGUCGAACGGUAACAGGAAGAAGCUUGCUUCUUUGCUGACGAGUGGCGGACGGGUGAGUAAUGUCUGGGAAACUGCCUGAUGGAGGGGGAUAACUACUGGAAACGGUAGCUAAUACCGCAUAACGUCGCAAGACCAAAGAGGGGGACCUUCGGGCCUCUUGCCAUCGGAUGUGCCCAGAUGGGAUUAGCUAGUAGGUGGGGUAACGGCUCACCUAGGCGACGAUCCCUAGCUGGUCUGAGAGGAUGACCAGCCACA
rnacentral:rRNA from 1 species